rnacentral:rRNA from 1 species
CUGAGGCGUGACGACGAGGCACUACGGUGCUGAAGCAACAAAUGCCCUGCUUCCAGGAAAAGCCUCUAAGCAUCAGGUAACAUCAAAUCGUACCCCAAACCGACACAGGUGGUCAGGUAGAGAAUACCAAGGCGCUUGAGAGAACUCGGGUGAAGGAACUAGGCAAAAUGGUGCCGUAACUUCGGGAGAAGGCACGCUGACACGUAGGUGAAGUGAUUUACUCAUGGAGCUGAAGUCAGUCGAAGAUACCAGCUGGCUGCAACUGUUUAUUAAAAACACAGCACUGUGCAAACACGAAAGUGGACGUAUACGGUGUGACGCCUGCCCGGUGCCGGAAGGUUAAUUGAUGGGGUCAGCGCAAGCGAAGCUCCUGAUCGAAGCCCCGGUAAACGGCGGCCGUAACUAUAACGGUCCUAAGGUAGCGAAAUUCCUUGUCGGGUAAGUUCCGACCUGCACGAAUGGCGUAAUGAUGGCCAGGCUGUCUCCACCCGAGACUCAGUGAAAUUGAACUCGCUGUGAAGAUGCAGUGUACCCGCGGCAAGACGGAAAGACCCCGUGAACCUUUACUAUAGCUUGACACUGAACAUUGAGCCUUGAUGUGUAGGAUAGGUGGGAGGCUUUGAAGUGUGGACGCCAGUCUGCAUGGAGCCGACCUUGAAAUACCACCCUUUAAUGUUUGAUGUUCUAACGUGGACCCGUAAUCCGGGUUGCGGACAGUGUCUGGUGGGUAGUUUGACUGGGGCGGUCUCCUCCUAAAGAGUAACGGAGGAGCACGAAGGUUGGCUAAUCCUGGUCGGACAUCAGGAGGUUAGUGCAAUGGCAUAAGCCAGCUUGACUGCGAGCGUGACGGCGCGAGCAGGUGCGAAAGCAGGUCAUAGUGAUCCGGUGGUUCUGAAUGGAAGGGCCAUCGCUCAACGGAUAAAAGGUACUCCGGGGAUAACAGGCUGAUACCGCCCAAGAGUUCAUAUCGACGGCGGUGUUUGGCACCUCGAUGUCGGCUCAUCACAUCCUGGGGCUGAAGUAGGUCCCAAGGGUAUGGCUGUUCGCCAUUUAAAGUGGUACGCGAGCUGGGUUUAGAACGUCGUGAGACAGUUCGGUCCCUAUCUGCCGUGGGCGCUGGAGAACUGAGGGGGGCUGCUCCUAGUACGAGAGGACCGGAGUGGACGCAUCACUGGUGUUCGGGUUGUCAUGCCAAUGGCACUGCCCGGUAGCUAAAUGCGGAAGAGAUAAGUGCUGAAAGCAUCUAAGCACGAAACUUGCCCCGAGAUGAGUUCUCCCUGAGACUUAGAGUCUCCUGAAGGAACGUUGAAGACGACGACGUUGAUAGGCCGGGUGUGUAAGCGCAGCGAUGCGUUGAGCUAACCGGUACUAAUGAACCGUGAGGCUUAACC